AGGCUCAAUCAUCUGCAAACACAGUGAUUGCUCUAUAUUAAAGCCAUCGCUGCCAGGCAGAGCUGGGCAUAGCAGCGAUCCAAAUCUGGGCAUAGAUUUCAAUGGUAGAGCAGAGCUCUCCGUGUGGGAGGAUCCAUAUAUCCAGCCUGAGCCAGAUUUCGCACCUCCAUGGUCCUAGUGAGAUUCUACAAGCCAAGCUUUCUCGUUAAUGAAAGACCAAUGUUGUCUUUGCUUGGCAAGGGAAAGCCAGGGCGUCCUGUGAGUCUCCUCUGUCUGCCAGGCUGGAACCUGUUUUCCCUGACUCUCUGAGAGUCCCCUGUUCCUCUUCUGGUUGUUCCUUAGAAGGAAAUCACCUCUGGAAUAAAGUCAAGUUUAAGAGUCCG
rnacentral:lncRNA from 1 species